CGGGUGAGUAACGCGUGGGGAACCUGCCUCAUACAGGGGAAUAACAGAUGGAAACGUCUGCUAAUGCCGCAUAAGCGCACACUGUGGCAUCACAGAGUGUGAAAAACUCCGGUGGUAUGAGAUGGCCCCGCGUCUGAUUAGGCAGUUGGCGGGGUAACGGCCCACCAAACCGACGAUCAGUAGCCGACCUGAGAGGGUGACCGGCCACAUUGGGACUGAGACACGGCCCAAACUCCUACGGAAGGCAGCAG
rnacentral:rRNA from 1 species